rnacentral:lncRNA from 1 species
GAGGGAGUGGUCCCUGAACUGAAGAAAUUGCUGUUUCCCUUCCCAUGUGUACAGGCUGGUUCUGUGAGAAGUUUCUAGUUAGUGAACACAUAGGUAUCUUUGCUUUUACUUUGUUUCUCAAUCACAGUCAUCUCACAAUGCCAAGUGUGGAGUAGUGGGCAUAGAUGUGAUGUCAGCUCCUGGGGACCAUAGAGACUGUCCAUAAGUCUGUGCCCUGGACUGAUGCGUUUCUGAAGUCACAAGGAGCCAUUAUUUCUAGUACAUGAGGGGAAGACAUGAGACGGGUGACAGGGAAGAGAGAUGUCUACCUGGGAGCAGCUUCUUGGGUUAAAUCACAGAACACAGACACCAGUGAAGACAGUGCUGUGGCUUGGAGGAUUUUGUCUAAUUCACAAAGGAAAGACGAGGUGACUUUGCUGGCCCAAGAACCAGGAGUUUCGUGAACAUUUGCCUUCUUCACCUGUUCUGAGGCAGCAGCCUGAGCAGCGCCCUGCACCGAGCAGAAGACAUUUGCGCUUACAACGACGACAGUCCAACAUGCUUGAUUCAAUAUUUGAAGAUGAGGGUGAAGUUUCAAUCCGUAAAGAAAUGGCCCUGGUCAGGCACAGCAGAUGGAGAACUACCAGUAAGAACACUUCCCGGAUGAUGUCCAGUAACAAGCCCAUUUUCCUCCAUGACUGAGUCACUGGGAACACUGACGUAGCUGGAUUCUACAAGGUAAUCAUCCUCUGACUUCCCGGAAUCUUGUAAUGAGUCAUCUCUCAGAAGUUCACAUUCCCUUUAUCUUUCACCAAACUUUAUCUAUUAAAAUCAAUAGUGUUGUGACUGGUCACUGUAGAUGCUGGAGCAGCCUAUCAGCUUACACGGUUCACCUGCGGCUCUAAGGCAAAGGCAGUUGCAGUCAACACACUCAGCUCCUGUGACUCCACCUCCCGUGUUAUACCCUAGACCUCCAGACACAGCACUCUUAUUUGCCUGAUACUUUGUUUCUCUGUCUUCCAGAAUGAGACAUAGACCUAGCAAGUCUUACAUGAAAAGCCACUGGUACAAGGUAAACUAUCUAUCCAUCGGUGCAAUACUCCCAUCUACCAGGCAAGGUUUGCCAACUAGGGCAAUAGCGGCACAAGUGCUACAGUGGUAACCAACUACUUUCAGCUUGGCUCUGAGGUUUGCUACACUGCGUUUUAAGCACAUAAUUUGCUGCCUGCUGUACAGCUCUUGUUCACUUCAGUUCUUCCUCUUCUGGCCUCAAUACGAAGACAAUCAUAAAUUUUACUUAAGAAUGUCAUACAUUACACUAUAAAAAUUCUUUUAACUUUUUUUUUUAACCUUUGAGAACUCAGUCUUAAAAGCUGGAGUGAAAAUGCUCUACUUUCUUACACAUUUGCCAUGAUGGUGCUCUCCUCCAUGGGAGGGCAUUUUCUUCAGGUGCUCUCCCUCUGCCCCUCUCUGUGUUCUGUCGGCUGAUAAGAAGUCAGUGUAAAGCUUCCUUUACCUACAGAAGUUUAUCUCAUCUCCAUUUCUGAAAUGUGCUUUAGUAACAUUCAAUAUAUGAUAAAUAAAGCAGUCUCUCAAUGUCCGA